GUGGGGAAUAUUGCACAAUGGGCGAAAGCCUGAUGCAGCAACGCCGCGUGAAGGAUGAAGGUCUUCGGAUCGUAAACUUCUGUCCUUGGGGAAGAAGAUCUGACGGUACCCAUGGAGGAAGCCCCGGCUAACUACGUGCCAGCAGCCGCGGUAAUACGUAGGGGGCAAGCGUUAUCCGGAAUUAUUGGGCGUAAAGAGUGCGUAGGUGGUUCUUUAAGCGAGAGGUUUAAGGCUAUGGCUUAACCAUAGUUCGCCUCCCGAACUGAAGGACUUGAGUGCAGGAGAGGAAAGCGGAAUUCCUAGUGUAGCGGUGAAAUGCGUAGAUAUUAGGAGGAACACCAGUGGCGAAGGCGGCUUUCUGGACUGAAACUGACACUGAGGCACGAAAGCGUGGGGAGCAAACAGG
rnacentral:rRNA from 1 species